CCCAGACCCGUCCCUUCCUGCUGCUGGGAGCCCGGAUCUGACCCGCAACGGCAGCCGAUGGAUCUCCGGAGCUCUCACCGCUCCCCCGUGCAAUCGGACGGGCUGAAGGCCAAGGGAGAACAAGGCGCAAAGGCUGACUCCGGGAGGGAGACCAGACCUGUGCACAGUGUUCCAUGUACGCUCUCACCAGGACCCCAUAUACCUUCAGAGGAGAUCUUUAUUCUUCUAUUCAAACCUUCCUUCCCAUUCAAUGCUCUUCAUUUAAUAUCGAACUCAAAACAGUGAACAGACACAACACAGCCUCAGCCAUGAAUUUAAAGGGUAGGUGUUGCAACAGUUUGAGCUUCAUACCGGGGGCCACGGAGCAAGCAGGGUGUCACAAAGGGAGGAAUGUGGGAGUGUUGUAUGUCUGAGCCCAGCUGUGUGUGUUUGUGUAUCAGAAUCAGGUUUAAUAUCACCGGCAUAUGUGGUGACAUUUGUUGCUUUGUGACAGCAGUACAUUGCAAUACAUAGUAAUAAGAAGUAUAAUCACAAUAAGUAUUUAUAAAAGUAAAUUCAAAACGUAGUGCAAAGCCGGAGGGAAAAUACUGAGGAAAUGUUCUUGAGUUCAUUGUCCAUUCAGAAAUCUGAUGGUGGGGAAGAAGCUGUUCCUGAACUGGUGAGAGUGUCUCCAGGGUCCUGUACAUCCUCCUUGAUGGUAGAAAUGAGAAGAGGUCAUGUCCUGGGUGAUGGGGGUCCUGAAUGAUGGAUGUCACCUUCUUGUUGCAUCAUCUUUUGAAUGUGUCCUGGAUGCUGUGGAGUCCAGUGCCCAUGAAGGAGCUGGCUGAGUUUACAACUUUCUGCAGCAUUUUCCGAUCCUGUGCAGUGGCCUCUCCACACCAGGCAGUGAUGCAACCAGUUAGAAUGCUCUCCACAGUACAUCUGUAGAAAUUUGCAAGUGUCUUUAGUGACAGACCGAUUCCCCUCAAUCUCCGAAUGAAAUAUAGCUGAUGUUGUGCCUUCAUUGUAACCGCAUCAAUAUGUUGGGCCCAGGAUAGUUCCUCAGAGAUGUUGACAGGCAGGAAAUGGAAACUGCUCACCCUUUUCACUUCUGAUCCCUCAAUGAGGUCUGGUGUGCGUUCCCUCGACUUCCCCUUCCUGAAUCCACAAUCAAUUCAUGAUGCUGAGUGCAAGAUUGUUGCUGUGACACCACUCAACUUGCUGAUCUAUCUCACUCCUGUACUCCUCCUCGUCACCGUCUGAAAUUCCAGCAACAAUAGUUGUGUUGUCGGCAAGUUUAUAGAUGAGCCUAGACACACAGAUGUGGUGUAGAGAGAGUAGAGCAGUGGACUGAGCACGCAUCGUUGAGGUGUGCCGGUGUUGAUUGUCAGCAAGGAGGAGAUGUUAUUUCUGAUCCACACAGACUGGGGUCUCCUGGUGAGGAUCCAGUUGCAGAAGGAGGUACAGAGGCCCAGGUUUUGGAGCUUGUUGAUUACAAUUGAGGAUCUGAUUGUGUUGAACGCUGAGCUGUAAUCAGCAGCCUGACUUGUGUAUUGCUAUUGACCUGGUGAUCUAAUGCCGAGUAUGAGCCAGUGAGAAUUGUUGACAGAUUGUGGCGAUUGGCAAAUUGCAGUGGGUCCCUGCACACAGACAGGAGUUGAUUGACCAUGACCAACCCCUCAAAGCACUUCAUCACAAUAGUGAGGGACUCUGAGCGAUAGUUGGUGAGGCAGGUCACCCUGGUAUUUUUGGGCCCUGGUAUGAUUGUCGACGUUUUUAAAUGUGUGUGUGUGUUUGCACGCUUGAGCAGAGAGACAGAGUAUUUGAGGCUUUGCAGUUCGAUGCAGGAAUAUUUCCAGUAAUUGGUGUGCCUCGAAAGAUGGGUCACAAUGUUGGGCCGACCAUUCAGAUCAGAACGAAAUAAUUUACCCAGCAGACUGAGCUCACAACCCGCUCUUGUGUUUCAGAGUUAUUUACAAAUUGAAAUGUCCAAUUUAAAAUGUGCAAAGUAAAUUUAUUAUCAAAGUAUACGCAUGUCACCAUGUAUAAUCCUGGGAUUUGAUUAUAUUGUAAAUUCAGUAAACUCAAGAACCAUUAUAAGGUGAAUGAAAGAUCGCCCACAACAGGACAAACAAAACAACCAUGUGCCAAAGACAACAAAAUUCAAAUACAAAAGAAAUAAAACUAAUAAAUAACCCAGAAAUAAACUUCAAGAACAUGAGAUGAAGAGCUGUUGAUUGUGUCCAUUGGUUGUGGGAAUAGCAAAGUUUAAGGAUCUGGUCUCAACAUAGAAAAUUGUUUGGUUCAGUGAAUUUUUCAUUGUCAUCUCCCAUUCUCCUUAAUUUUUUUUAAUCCCUUCCAUGACUGACAAAGUCUUUAAGGAUUGGGAAGAACUAGUUAUUAAGUGUUUUUGGGACUUGUUUAUCUCAGGAUCUCUUGCAUCGUUUGACCAAUUGUCAAAUAAAUUUGCAGUCCCAAAAUCUCACUUUUAUAGAUACCUUCAAAUUAGAGAAUUUCUACGUUUCCAAUUAGCUACUUUUCCUAUAGGUCCUGAUAAAAAUUUACUGGACGAUCUUUUAAAUUUAAAACCUUUUGUUAAUGGUUCUAUUACAGGUAUCUAUAACUUGUUGAUUGAUUCUAGACAAGACUUUUUAGAUAAAAUAAAAAAAAGCUUGGGAGGAUGACCUAAAUUGUCAGAUUUCUGAUGAUAGAUGGAAUAAAAUUUUUAAAUGGGUUAAUAAAUCAUCUUUCUGUGCUCGUCAUUCUCUUCUACAAUUUAAAGUGGUUCAUCGAGCUUAUAUUUCUAAAUAGAAGCUCUCCAGUUUUUACCCGAAUGUUUCUCCACUUUGUAAUAAAUGCAACUCUGCUGAUGCCUCUUUAAUUCAUAUGUUUUGGUUUUGCCCUCCAAUUGGAAAGUUUUGGCGGGAAAUAUUUCAUACCUUCUCUCAACUUUUUAGGUCCAAUUUGACCCAAAUCCCCUUACUGCCUUGUUUGGUAUUAUUGCAAAUGAAAAUAUAACUUUAAAUACUCCUAACCUACAGGUUUUAGUUUUUACCUCUCUUUUAGCAAGGAGAGCAAUCCUGCUUAAAUGGAAGGAGUCUACCCCUCCUACACAUCUUCAAAGGCUACGUGAUAUUAUGUCGUAUUUAAAUUUAGAAAAGAUCUGCUGUUCAGUCUUAAAUUCGAAACAAUCUUUUUAUGAUAUUUGGGGACCUUUCCUAAAUUACUUUUCCAAUUUGUAAAGUUUAACAGUGCACAGACUUUUAUGAAUAUUUUUUAUCUUCUCUUCUUAAAUGAAAAUGUUUUUUUUUCUAAUUAUCCAUUGUCAUCCAUAAGCUUUUUUCUUUAGUAGUUGGUAGGGGGUUGACUUUUUUAUAUAUAUAAAAAAGUCAUUUUAUGAUGUAUGACCUAUCUUUAAAUUUUUGAUUACAGAGAGGUAUACCUUUAUGUGUUAUGCUAUAACAUUUUGAUCAAUUUUAUUACAAUAUUUGAAUGUACACAAGUUAUGUUGAAAUGUAUCUAUGUACUACACUGUGUAACUUUUUUUUCUCUGAGUAAAAAUAUUGUAAAAAGAAAGGGCCUGUUGGUUGAGUGUAAUAACUGUUCCUGAACCUGGGGUUGAGGCUCCUGAGGCUCAUGCACCUUCUUCCUGAUGGCAGCAUUGAGAAGAGAGCAUGGCCUGGGUGGUGGGGGUCCUUGAUGACGGAUGCUGAUUUCCUGCGACAGCACUCCGCAGAGAUGUGCUCGGUUGUGAGGAGAGUUUUACCCGUGAUGUACUGGGCCAUAUCCACUAUGAUGUGCUGGGCCAUUCUACUGAGGACAGACAGUUCCUGCUUUCUUGUAAUUGCACUUGUGUCCCGGGCUCGGGACAGAUCCUCUGAAAUGUUCACACUGUGGAAUUUAAAGUUGCUGAACGUCUCCACCUUUGAGCCCUGAUGAGGAUUGCCUCAUGGGUUCCUGUUUCCUCCUCCAAAGUCCAGAACCAGUUCAUUGCUCUUGCUCUCAUUGAAUGAGAGGCUGCUCUUGGACCAUAAGACCAUGAGAGACAGAAGCAGAAUUAGGCCAUUUGGCCCAUCAAAACUGCUCUGCCACUUGGUCAAUCCAUUUUUCCUCCCAGCCCCAAUUUCCUGCCUUCGCCGCAUAUCCUUUCAUGCCCUGACCGAUCGAAAGUCCAUCAACCUCUGCCUUAGCAAAAGGAAAAGCAGCAUCCGUCAUCAGGGCAAGAUGAGAUGAGGCACCUCCCACUCCAUACCCAUCCAUUUCUGUCCCUCCCCUCCUCACUCUCUUGCCUACAAACCUCGCUUUCAUUCUUACCAUUCCCUUCUCUCUCGCUCCCACCCCUCUCUCAACUCUCUCCUCUCUCUCACACUCUCCUCCCCUCUUCCACACUCUCUCCCCACACUUCCCCUUCUCUGCUUCACUCUUUCCUCCCCAGUAUACCCCAUUCUCCUACUCUUGAACCCUCUCUCCCCACGUUCUCUUUCUUUCACUCUCAUCCCUCUCUUCCCUCUGUCUCCCCUUCCCUUUUCCCUUCUCCACCCCUCUCCAGUCUCCCCCACUCUCCCCCUCACCCCCUGUCCCCUAUCUCCCCCUCUACACCCCCUCUCUAAGAUCAAUGAUUCUGUGCUCUGUUUACACUUGUUUAGUAGAUUGUUCAUAUCACUUGUUCUUUCAUCAAUUCCUUCACUCUUUGUUUUAGACUUGGGAUUGUGUUUUUCAUUAUAUAUUGUACUUCUCACUUACUGUAAUCCAACAAACAAUCCCGCAGCAUCCUCGGGAAGUUCCCACUCCCCACUGAUCGAAUCCUCUCAUCUUGCUGAUCUCGGUCCGCCACAUCCACUCUUUAUUAUUUUCCAUAGAGGUUGCCUGACCUGCUGAGUUCCUCCAACAUUUUGUGUGUGUUGUUCUCCGUUACACCUCCUCCUCUCCGCCCCUUUCUUUUCCCAUUUGCUGCACCUCUCUCCCUUCCUCCAUACUUACCCAUCUCUCCCAAGCGCUCUCACUCCCUCUGUCCCUCUCUUACCUCGACAGUUCAUUGCACUCUCUCUCGGUCUCUCUCUCUCACACACACACAAACCUCUCCCCUCUGUUACUCUCGCAAUCAGAGAUAGGGAGAGGGAUUGAGAGAUUGAGAGUGAGAGGCAGACAGGCAGAGAGAGGAAGUGAGAGAGGGUGUGGAGAGAGUGAGAGACAGACAGACAGAGAGAGAGAGAGUGAGUGAGAGAGUGAUGGAGAGAGUGAGAGGGAGACAGAGAGGGGGAGAGAGAGAAAGAGAGAGAGUGAGACAGAGAAAGAGGAGGGGGAGAGAGAGAGGGGGACGGAUAGGGAGAGGGAGAUGGAGAGGGAGAGAGUGAAAUUCCUCUCCUGUCUGGUUCCAUUUAGUCUUGUUUCUCCAUUUUCCCAGUAUCUUCAGCUUCUCAACUUCCCCCGAGCUCUUUACCCGUUCUCUCUCUCCUCGUUCUACACACAUCUCAUCAUCCCUUAGCCUCCCAGCUCCCCACCCCCUCCAUAUCACCAACACAGUAGAGCUGGUUACUGACAACAGGAAGUCAGCCGGGGCGAUGCAGACAUUCCUGUUUACAUCAACGGCAGAGGAUAAGGGGGUUGAGAGCUCCAAUCUCCUGAGAGUGAACACCACUAACAGCCUGUCCUUGUCCAGCCACAAGGACACUAUCGCCAAGAAAGCUCAGCGGCAUCUCUGCUUCUUCCAGAGGCUGAAGAAAAUCGGCGCCUCCUGGACGACCAUCAUCUGUUUUUACAGAACACAUCCUUUGCGGAAACUAGUCGUGUUGUCACGGCAACAGCACUGGCCAGCACCGGAAACACUGCAGAGAGCUGUGAACAGGUUCAGUACUCUCCUUCCACAGCAGCUCAGACAACAUCCCGGUGAACCUCUUCGUUGCUGCCCUGAACACCAGCGGCGUAACGGGCUUUGAGAAGGAACCGGGUGGGUUGUUGAUCAAUAAAGGUGUCGGAGCUGACGUGGAGAAAGCAGCAGUAUGGAGUUGAGAGGGAAAUUCGAAUGGUGGAGAAGACUCGAUGGACGGGAUGAGUAUUUCAGUUCCUACGACGAGCGGUACAGAGGUGGGAUGGCGAAGCGAUGUGGAGGAAGCUGCGGGUGCAGGUAAGAGUGAGUGUCCAGGUAGGAGAUGGUGUUCAGCAGCUUUUCACUGCUUCUUCCAACCAACAACAAUUCACUCCGAGUGGAUCGAUCAUAACUGCUUUUAUAUUUACUUGCAGAGGGACGAUGAGCAAUGCAGAAGAGCUGGUAAUAGCUUUGUCCGAAAACAAAACACAGACAGUCCAGUCACUGCGAUGGACUCAAGUUCACGGACAGGGUGCACUCCGUUGUCUGCUGAAUCACAGCUGCGGGUCUGCACUCAAGUGCUCAGGUACCAUGUUGCACGAACAUUAUUAGCAAAGCUGUCUGAUGCAACACAGGUUCCAGCUGGUUACAGGCCAUUUUGGUGCAACAAGUGAAGUACAUUUCCACAGUGGUGGAGAAGCAUUCCGACACCCCUCACCCCCUGUGAAAACCCUUCCAACCCCUACACCACUCCCCAUUUCUGUUAACACCCCCUGUGAAAUCCCUUCCAACCCUCACACCACUCCCCAUUUCUGUUAACACCAUCUGUGAAAACCCUUCCAACCCCUACACCACUCCCCAUUUCUGUUAACACCAUCUGUGAAAACCCUUCCAACCCCUACACCACUCCCCAUUUCUGUUAACACCCCCUGUGAAAACCCUUCCAACCCCAACACCACUCCCCAUUUCUG